ACUCCUACGGGAGGCAGCAGUGGGGAAUAUUGCACAAUGGGCGCAAGCCUGAUGCAGCCAUGCCGCGUGUUGAAGAAGGCCUUCGGGUUGUAAAGACUUUCAGUCGUGAGGAAGGUAGUGUAGUUANAGCUGCUAUUAUUUGACGUUAGCGACAAGAAGAAGCGACCGGCUAACUCCGUGCCAGCAGCCGCGGUAAUACGGAGGGUGCGAGCGUUAAUCGGAAUUACUGGGCGUAAAGCGCAUGCAGGUGGUUUGUUAAGUCAGAUGUGAAAGCCCGGGGCUCAACCUCGGAAUUGCAUUUGAAACUGGCAGACUAGAGUACUGUAGAGGGGGGUAGAAUUUCAGGUGUAGCGGUGAAAUGCGUAGAGAUCUGAAGGAAUACCGGUGGCGAAGGCGGCCCCCUGGACAGAUACUGACACUCAGAUGCGAAAGCGUGGGGAGCAAACAGGAUUAGAUACCCUGGUAGCUACGAGU
rnacentral:rRNA from 1 species